rnacentral:rRNA from 1 species
UACGUAGGGCGCAAGCGUUGUCCGGAAUUAUUGGGCGUAAAGAGCUCGUAGGUGGCUUGUCACGUCGGGUGUGAAAGCUUGGGGCUUAACUCCAGGUCUGCAUUCGAUACGGGCUGGCUAGAGGUAGGUAGGGGGAGAACGGAAUUCCUGGUGUAGCGGUGAAAAUGCGCAGAUAUCAGGAGGAACACCGGUGGCGAAGGCGGGUCUCUGGGCCGAUACUGACGCUGAGGAGCGAAAAGCGUGGGGGAGCGAACAGG